AUGGAGAGGAAACUGGGAGCUGUGCUGGGGAUUCUGUGCAUGUGGAUUUGCUGGGUGAGAGGAGUUGAGGUGGAGCAGAGUCCUUCAGCCCUAAGUCUCCAAGAAGGAACAAGUUAUGUUCUCACAUGCAACUUUUCUACAAGCAUGAGAAGUGUGCAGUGGUUCCAGCAGAAUUCCAGGGGCAGCCUCAUCAGCCUUUUCAACCUGACUCCAGGAACAAAGCAGAAUGGGAGGCUAAACUCAACCUUCAACUCUAAGGAGCGCAAGAGCACCCUUCACAUCAGAGAUGCCCAGCUGGAGGACUCUGGCACCUACUUCUGUGCAGCAGAGGCACAGGAUUCUGCAAAGAUGUCAGUGGUGAAGGGGGAAUGA